rnacentral:rRNA from 1 species
UACAGAGGGCUCAAGCGUUGUUCGGAUUCAUUGGGCGUAAAGGGCGCGUAGGUGGCGCGCUAAGUCAGGUGUGAAAUUUCGGAGCUUAACUCCGAAACUGCAUUUGAUACUGGCGUGCUUGAGGACUGGAGAGGAGACUGGAAUUCACGGUGUAGCAGUGAAAUGCGUAGAUAUCAGGAAGAACACCCGUGGCGAAGGCGGUUCUCUGGGACGGUACUGACGCUGAGACGCGAAAGCGUGGGGAGCGAACAGG